rnacentral:rRNA from 1 species
UCCCUUUUCAACAACGGAUCUCUUGGCCCUNGCAUCGAUGAAGGACGUAGCGAAGUGCGAUAAGUAAUGUGAAUUGCAGAANUCCGUGAAUCAUCGNAUCUUUGAACGCAAAUUGCACUCUCUGGCAACCCGGGGAGUAUGCCUGUUUGAGGGUCAGU